rnacentral:snRNA from 1 species
GUGCUCAUUUCAUCAGCAUUAGAUACUAAAAUUGGAAUUAUACAGAAUAGAUUAAUGAGACCCUCAUGCAAGGAUGAUGCACAAAUUUGUGAAGCAUUUCAAAUUUUU